rnacentral:tRNA from 1 species
UGGCUCAGCUGUUAAGAGCACUGGAUGCUCUUCCAGAGGACCUGGGUUCAAUUCCCAG